rnacentral:rRNA from 1 species
AUACGUAGGUGGCGAGCGUUGUCCGGAAUUACUGGGCGUAAAGGGCGUGUAGGUGGCCUUUUAAGUCAGGCGUGAAAACCCACGGCUUAACCGUGGGCCUGCGCUUGAAACUGGGGGGCUUGAGGGCAGGAGAGGAAAGCGGAAUUCCCAGUGUAGCGGUGAAAUGCGUAGAUAUUGGGAGGAACACCAGUGGCGAAGGCGGCUUUCUGGACUGACCCUGACACUGAGGCGCGAAAGCCAGGGGAGCGAACGGGAUUAGAUACCCCGGUAGUCCUGGCCGUAAACGAUGGGUACUAGGUGUGGGAGGUAUCGACCCCUUCCGUGCCGCAGUUAACACAAUAAGUACCCCGCCUGGGGAGUACGGCCGCAAGGUUGAA